rnacentral:lncRNA from 1 species
GGUCUGUAAGAAAUAAUUGAGUGAAACAUGCAUUAUAGGUAAUUGUUCUGUCUCCAGUUGAUAUACUGUAUAGGAAUCUUGGAAUACAGGCAGUUGUAAACGAGAUUUCUAGGAGAGAGAAAUUUUGGAGGAAAAAAUACAUGGGGGUUUUAAGGUGGGGAUCCAGCAAGGUUAGGGUGAUGAUGGUCAGAUUUCCAGCUACACUCAAUAUGUAGGUGAGAAAGAGGAAAAGGAAAAGCAAAAGCUGCAGCUGAGGAUCUUCUGUCAGUCCCAGAAGGAUGAAUGUUGUUAUUGCAGUGUGGUUUCUCAUAUUGACUCCUGGAUUUUGUCAACCGUAAAUGUCAAUGUCAGAGAGAUUUGAAUGCAGAAUUCAAAGACAUCAUCCACUGAUGAACACGCUCUUGUGUAUUGAACUCAUCCAACAUGCAUGAGUUUUACUUUUAGAUUGGAGGAAUACAUUUCCUGUUUUACAGUGAGCUCAACCCCUCAGUCUAUUUAUUUAUAAUGACAAGUGAAAUUAUACAUUUUGUUUAGUUUAUAGUUUAACUUUUCCUUUAGUAAUUUCUCAAAAUUAAUUCAUAAUGAAUUAAAUAUAUUAUCUCCUACACUGCAUUGUGCAUUUUUUAUUUAUAUUUAUUUUUCAUUUCAUAUAUUAAGCAGUUUUUUAUACUGCCAAAGAUUGUUCUUCAGUACAUGAGCAUAUUUUAAAAAAGUUAAUUCAGUGUCAUUCUUUUGCCUUAAAUUUGGGAAUUAUUAAAAUACUAAAAUAAAGGUUUUGACCAUGACCCAAACAAACCAUUUCAAUUCUCUCUAAAAUAUAAAGGAUUUUUAUCUUUCUAAUGAGUGAUCAUUUAUUAUAAGGGCAAACGUUUUUGACUCUGAAACAUCCACAUUUGUAGUUUUGCAGAUUUAAAAACUUCCGUUCCUAUGUCUUGUGUUACCUCUUGGAUUACAUGGUGCAGUACAACCUCAUUACAUAUUGCUCUUUCAUCACCUCGUGAGGUUAUGCUGAGUGUAAUUAAUGAACUUCUGAAGGAUGUAAAAGCUAUACUUUGAUGCUUCAUUUAAGCACUCAGAUUGAAACAUAUGUACACACCGUGUUAUGGAGAAAAAGUUAAGAUGAAAGUGACUGAAUAUCCUCUCCAUGCACCUCUCUUUCCUCCAUUCACGUUUCUUUCCAGUCCACAUUUUUGCCUCUCUUUUUACAUUUUGCAUUCAUUUCUCAAAGACUUAGUCUCUGGUUUUCAAGCUCAGCAGCCUUGAUAAAGCACUCCUUCAUGGAUCUUCCUGUGGGUCAAUUCAAGAUAAAUCAUAAUUUAAAUGUGUUUCAGUGUAAUCCUAAGAAUACAUGCUUACAAGUCUCUUUGUGUGCUCCAGGCACUGGUCUAAGUCUCUUACAGGUAUCACGCGUAGAAACCUUAGGAUAUCCUGUGAGGUUGGGAGGUAUGUUGUCUCCAUUUUCAAAGUGGGAAAAGUGGAGCACAGAGAGAUAAGGCCUGUGUCCCCUGCUUUCUGGAUAUUCAGUAUCCACUCAGAAGGGCUCCAGAGCCCUGGCCUGAGUCACUGUACUGUGGUUAUUGGUGCACAUUUACCUGAAUGCCUUGGUUUCAUGAUGACAGAAUUUGUAUUGGUAAUUCAAACAAAGGUAGUAUUUCUUUAGAAUUCAUUGUUAAACCAAGACACUUGAGAAGCAGUGAGGGGCAGGAGUAAUGAAUAAUUAUGGUGCUGCAUGUGCGGUGAAUGUGCUCUUGAGGGCAAAAUCUAAACGUGUGCAGUCACUCAGUUCGUGUGGCUGAUGGGGCUGCACGUCAGCAAAUUCAGCUAGCUAAUUUUCUAUUUUAUUCUUUAUUCCUGUUGGUAUAUUGACCCUUCCAUAUUGUUGGCUCGGUAUUUCUUUCCGUGAAAUGUGAAGUCUGAAGAGUAGAGACCGUAUUAUUCUGGGUUAAUAUGAUCAAGGUGGUGAGAGUUAUUUCUCAUGUAUCCUCCUUUACAUGGAUAGAUAGUCAUAGUUUUCUAACCUGUAAGUGAUGUCCUCAGGGGUCCAAAUUCUUGUAACCUUAUGAAAUGCAAAAUGGAUCACCUAUGGAUAAGCCAUUUUCUCAUUUUUAGAUUUUCUUUCUCAGAACGUACUGAUACAUGCACUUUGAGAGUUUUUUUUUUUUUAAUUUUUUUUUUUCAGGUCCUCAUCUGUGGCACAUGGAAGUUCCCAGGCUAUAGGCUGAAUCAGAGCUACAGCUCCAGGCUAUGCCACAAUCAUAGCAAUGCAGGAAAUGAGCUGCAUCUACAACCUCCACCACAGCUCAUCGCAAUGCUGGAUCCCUGAUCCAUUGAUCAAGGCCAGGGAUCGAACCUGCAUCCUCAUGGAUUCUGGUUGGAUUUGUUUCUGCUGUGAUGCAAAGGGAACACCCUUUUCCCUUUAUUUACUAAUUAUAUAAACAGUAGUUUUUCCCCUAGCAUCAUCCACAUAUGACCAAGUGGAUUUUUUAAAUUAAGCAGUAAUUCACAUUUUACAUUACAUUAGUUUCAGGUAUACAACAUAAUAAUUCACUGUUUGUGUACAUUGUGAAAUAAUCAUCGCAUUAAGUCUGGGUAAUAUCAGUCACCUUAUGUAGUUACCAAACAUUUUUUUCUUGUGAUGAGAACUUUUAAGAGCUGCUCUCUUGCUUUCAAAUAUUCAAGACACUCUUACUGACUGUGGUCACCAUGCUGUAAAUUCCAUCCCUGUGACUUAUUUACUUUAUCACUGAAGUUUGUAUCCUUUGAGCCCCUUCACCCACUUCCCUGCUGCUCCCCACUGUCCACCUCUGAAACCAUGAAUAUCUUCUCUGUAUCCAUGAGCUUGUUUGUUUGUUUUUGCUUUGUUUUUUAGAUUCCACGUAUAAGUGAGAUCAUAUGGUGUUUGCCUUUCUUUGUUUAACUUAUUUCACAGCGUUUUGAACCAUAUCUUUCUCUCUUUCAUCUAAGCAAGUAAACCCUGUCAUCUGCUACUAUAGGCUCAGUAUACAGGAUGCAGUCUCCAUGGGUAGACAGAUGCUAUCACAGGGAGGGAUAUUAAUUGAGGCUCAGGAUCGAUCAAGUUUGAUGGAAAGCUCUUACCCUCUUGAACACUGCAUUAUCAUCUGAUGGUGACCAUAGCUCACAUGAGAAGCUCUGUCUUGUUUUCUUCAUUUUUCAAGAACUCAGUUCAUCUCCCAGUAGUUCUCUUGGAAUUUGACUCAGUUUUGCCUGGGUCUUAAAACUGUUUUGUUUUUGGAGUUCCUUUUGUGGUUCAGUGGAAAUGAAUCUGACUAGUAUCCAUGAGGCCUAGGUUCAAUCCCUGGCCUUGCUCAGUGGGUUAAGGAAUGGGCAUUGCCAUGAGCUGUGGUGUAGAUCACAGAUGCAUGUCGGAUCUAGCAUUGCUGUGGCUGUGGUGUAUGCUGGCGGCUACUGCUCUGAUUUGAUCCCUAGCCUAGGAACCUCCCUAUGCCAAGGGUGAGGCCCUAAAAAGGCAAAAAAAAA